CCCUUAGAUGUCCUGGGCCGCACGCGCGCUACACUGACAUGUUCAACAAGCCUCCUAGUUCGACAGGAUUUGGGAAAUCUUUGAACGCAUGUCGUGAUAGGGAUAGAUCAUUGCAAUUAUUGAUCUUGAACGAGGAAUUCCUAGUAAACGCGAGUCAUCAGCUCGCAUUGAUUACGUCCCUGCCCUUUGUACACACCGCCCGUCGCGCCUACCGAUUGAAUGUUUCGGUGAAGAUUCCGGAUAGGACUUUUUUGAUUUAUUUCAAUUUUGUCUUAAAAGCUAUCUAAACCUCAACAUUUAGAGGAAGGUGAAGUCGUAACA
rnacentral:rRNA from 1 species